AUUUAUAUAGUUUAUCUAUAAAACAUUACAUUUUCAUUGUAAAAAUAAAAAAAUUUUUUUAUAAAUA
rnacentral:tRNA from 1 species